GACGAACCGAGCGAACGUUGUUCGGAAUCACUGGGCUUAAAGGGCGCGUAGGCGGGCUGUCAAGUCUGGGGUGAAAUCCCGCGGCUCAACCGUGGAACUGCCUCAGAUACUGACGGUCUCGAGGGGGAUAGGGGCGAGCGGAACUGUGAGUGGAGCGGUGAAAUGCGUAGAUAUCCUGAGGAACACCGGUGGCGAAAGCGGCGCGCUGGAUCCCUUCUGACGCUGAGGCGCGAAAGCCAGGGGAGCAAACGGG
rnacentral:rRNA from 1 species